rnacentral:rRNA from 1 species
AGUGAACGCUGGCGGUAGGCCUAACACAUGCAAGUCGAACGGCAGCACAGUAAGAGCUUGCUCUUACGGGUGGCGAGUGGCGGACGGGUGAGGAAUACAUCGGAAUCUACUUUUUCGUGGGGGAUAACGUAGGGAAACUUACGCUAAUACCGCAUACGACCUAUGGGUGAAAGCAGGGGAUCUUCGGACCUUGCGCGAUUGAAUGAGCCGAUGUCGGAUUAGCUAGUUGGCGGGGUAAAGGCCCACCAAGGCGACGAUCCGUAGCUGGUCUGAGAGGACGAUCAGCCACACUGGAACUGAGACACGGUCCAGACUCCUACGGGAGGCAGCAGUGGGGAAUAUUGGACAAUGGGCGCAAGCCUGAUCCAGCCAUACCGCGUGGGUGAAGAAGGCCUUCGGGUUGUAAAGCCCUUUUGUUGGGAAAGAAAAGCAGCAGGUUAAUACCCCGCUGUUCUGACGGUACCCAAAGAAUAAGCACCGGCUAACUUCGUG